rnacentral:lncRNA from 1 species
UGCGCUUCGGCCAAGCCGCCCCCCUGAAGCUGGCGCGGGGCCCGGGCGCCGCCUCGCGGGUCACCAUGCGUGCCCACGUGGUCUCCGGGGCGCACUGCACUGAGGGGGCGCGCAGACUGGGCCCCGGCCGGCGGGGGUCGCAGGUCGCUCUGGACCAGGAGAUGGGGGCGAGCCUUCAGGGAGGGCAGACGGAGGCUUCUCCGCGGCCGCGGCCGUCGGAGGUAACGGUGCUGACGGUGGCCGGCAGUGCAGCGGUGCGGGCCUUUGCUGCCGCCCAGCGUGGUCGGCCGGGGGCGCCUCGGGAGGCAGUGAAAGCAUCGGGGUUCCUGGGAAGCACGCCCGGGAGGCGAGCACCGCCAGUCGUGUCAUGGCAGUUGUGAUAUUUAUCUUGCUAUGCAUCACUGCCAUAGCGAUAUGCAUUCAUCCACAGAGGUGGCUAUACCAAAAGAAUGAUUCAGAUGUCUCAAAACCUGGAGACCAUGCUGAGACUGCUCUGAGAAGUGAGCUCAACUUGCAAAAUGCAGUCAGUGAAAGUCAGAAGGAGUGUUUCUUCUGAUCAGCAGCUGUGAUUUCCUUUCUGCUAUGACAGUGUAGCCUUCAUGAUUUACUCAGAUGUUAAUGUUGAAUUCUUCAGAUUACCCACAAAAUACCCCAGACAUGUUCGUGAGUAUGCAUCCCACAAAUGCACAUGGAUGAAGUGCAGAGCUGUUCAUCGAGACCAUGUUUGGAAUGACCAUCACUGGGGAAAGCUACCCUGGCACCAAGGGACAAAGCUGCAGAUGAUUAGUUGUCAAUGCUUUUAGAAGUGAAGAAAAUUCAUCACAAUAUGGGGGAAAGUUGUGAGCAUGAAAGAGCAACUUUUGUGUCAACUCUACCAAAGCUCCAGCAUCUGGCUUUCCCUUGUUUAUGCUCCUGCCACCUGUGCAUGCCAAUCCAACAUGAGACAGCCAGACAGGUGAUGUGGCACCUCAAGGCCCUCCAGAUUGAGAGCUGGAAUAAAGCAAGGGGGGAAUUGUAAGCAGCACUCCAAAAUGGAACUUUAAAGGUUAGGUUUUUUCUUUCAGAGAUAAGCAACUUCUUCAAACUUCCUCUUGCUGUGCACCUAGUGGAUAUCUUCUUCCUCCUGGUCUCAGAUGAAGUGAUGGAUAUGCAGAUGCCACCAGCUGCCCCCCCUCCCUCCCUGAGGCCGGGCCCAUUUUCCUUUUCACAAGAAAGAGGAGGAUGAGCUAAAG